rnacentral:misc_RNA from 1 species
GAAAUGCGAUAUGUAAUGCGAAUUGCAGAAUUCAGUGAAUCAUCAAAUCUUUGAACGCAAAUGGCGCUCUCGGGAUAGUCCCGGGAGCACACCUCUCUGAGUAUCGGUUCAAACUCAACUCUUCAGCGUGCUUGCAUGCAAAUGAAGGAAAAUGAGAGUCUCAGCAAUCUAAGCUAAGUCUCUUUAAAUAUGUUGAGCUUUAGAUCUCCUAGUACCUCAACUUCGGUUGAUAGCCUCUCAGGCUCUUUCUCUACUAGUGACGUGGAUAAUAUCACCUUCGCGGUGUCUUGAAACGUCUCAUCUAGAAGAGUCAGACCCGUCUGUGAGUGUGAACGACUAGUGCGAUUUAUAGCGUUAGAAUUGAACUGUCUCUUUCGAGACUCCUCGAAUUAGAUCUCAGAUGAAGUGAGACAACCCCCUGAAUUUAA